UGGGGCUCACAGUAUUUUACCCCCUUCGGGGAGGUAGCUGGUUGUAGUUUAGCAAAACAGCCAGUGACAUCGCUGCUCCUUCAGCCUCUGCAGACAGAGCUGCAAGAUCCUGGAGGCCUUUUUAAUCCCCAGAAACAAAGUUCGCAGGAGGCCACAACCUUUGGUGGUGGGGAGCGGAGUCAGCAGCGGGAGAGGAGAGGCCCUUAGGAGAGACUGAGCCGCCGGGCCAUCGAGGGAACCUGGGCCAGGGAUGAGGCACUUCAGCCCCCGGAGCAGCUGCAACAGCAGAGUCUGACUUCCCAGCAAGGAGCUCUGGCUGCAGGUGUUAAAACGGACCAAAAUGUGUUCUCCCACCCGGAAGCAAGCAAAGCCAAGCCCAGCUGCGGUUCCCUGACAGUCCAGUGAAUUCAGCCAAAGGAAAUGGCCCCACAUGGAGAUUCCUGCUUUUGAGUAAUGAAGGCAACCAAACCACAUGACCCUGCCUGCAAAGAUUCCACCCGGACUCCCGGUUCCUCCAAGGAACCGUCAUGUGGUUCAAAUCCAACAGAAAUUCUCUAAAUCUCCACCCUCCUCAGGGUGCAGAGUUGGCUGCUUUUCUGUGCCCCUCGCUGAUCACCGCAACCCCUGGGUGCCUCGGCCUGCGAAGCCCCAGCUGUCCUCCGUCUGCAGACAAGCCGAGAGACAGGGUUUCACUGUGUUAGCCAGGAUGGUCUCGAUCUCCUGACCUCAUGAUCCUCCCGCCUCGGCCUCCCAAAGUGCUGGGAUUACAGGUAUGAGCCACCGCGCCCGGCCCACUAUAGAUAUUUCAACCAGAGGAAUAUA